UGAGUUAAAAGUUUUAUUCAUUCAACAUCUCACAUUACAAAUAUUUAAAAAUUAUAUGCAUACUGGUAUAAAUAGUCAUUUGCAAACUAUUUAAUAACAUUAAUUUUCCACUAGCACUUCAACAAAUGAACUCUUUUAAAAAAGGAACUGUGUUAUAUAACUUAAGAGUAGAACAUACAAAAAUAGGAACUUAACGUGAAAAUGACUUUAAUAAAAAAUGAAUUACCCUUAUUUAAAAUGCUAUAAUAAAUACUACAACCUCCCCAUACACAGUAAAAACUAUAUGGAAAUUCAGCCAAGUAGUACAAUUAACUGACAUACUUAAAUAACUUUUCCUUCUGAUAAUAUGAGCAAUACACUGGAAAAAAAAAAAAAAACAUUAGGGAUUAGUAAAAACUAGACACCCACUUGCUAAAAGUUUCACUUCCAAAAAAUAUAACAAAAAUCUGAUGAAAAUUAUAAAAACUAAUUAUACUUUAAAUUUUAAAAAUAUAAAAAAUAAAACAGUUGAAUACAAUAUUGUCCCAAUUCUUACAAUGCUAUCAAUCACAGUAGCUUUAAAAUAAGAUAAUAAAAUAAAGCAAAUGACCAAAACCUCUUUUAUUCCAUUUUUAAAAAUAAUCUCAAAUUUACAUUAGUAGAAAGAUUGAUUUCUGAUUCUUUUCUUUAGAAACACCAGCAAGAAAGAGGAUUACUCUUAACAGUAGAAAAUGACAUUUUUAAAUGUCUGCAAUUAAAAACAAAGAAUUACACUGCAAAGAUCUUUCAAAAGUUUGAAAUAAGUAUUGCACAUAACUUGAAGUUAACUUGCCACAAUUCAUCACAUUCAAGUUUUAAAUCACCUUUUAACAGAAGAUUCAACUCUUCAAAACAAAAGGGGUGAAUUAUCAAGUCUUUCCAACAGCACUCUCAUAAAAUGCUAAAUUCAUUCACUGCAAGUUUUAUUUUGCAUUCUGCAGAGGUCUGUGUAUGGAGAAGUAUAUAUAUUAUACCAAAGCGUGGGGACCAGAAGGGGAAGGGAAAGGGUUCCUUUACAUAGAAAAUAAUCAGAAACACUUUAUUUUACAUUGCAAAAAUAACCAUGUAAUUACUCUGUAACUACAUUGUAAGUACAUGGCUGGUGCCAUGCUAGUGCGCUAGAACUACAUGCUUGGUAAAUUGAAGUGAUACCCUAAAAUCUGUAAACUAAUUACAUGUUAAUUAUGUUUUGAGUUACAUGGUAACUCCCAACUACAAUCCCAUGUAAUCUGAAGGACAUGUAAUCAAUAAAGUUCAGAGUAAUAGAUAAUAAUUGUUUAUGCCCUGUAAAUUGAAGUGUAACCAAAUAAUCUGUAAACACGCUUGUCACACAAUCACAAGUAAAUAUUAGUAGAAUAACAAUUUCUUACAUUAGUCAUGCAUACUAACAUUACACACCUGUCCCGCGGCAGGCUAUUUUUUUCUUUAUAUAUAAUUAAAAGAGCAGACAUCUCUGAAUCAAACACUUAACAUCAAUUUAUUAAUAUUAAAAAUGGCUAAACAUUCACCAAGAAUGUCUGCUUUAUGAAUCAUUUUAAAAACUCUUAGGGGGGGGGGAAGCUGGAUGACAAUUUUGUUAUUUUAAAUUUCUACCCUAUGCUUAUGAAUUUAAUUUUUUUUUCUUUUUAGGAACUACAGUGUUAUCUGUCAUUUUCAUGCGAAUCUUUUUCAUUAAUUUGUGACUUUACAUAGACUAUUUCUUAAAUUAUAGGUACAACCAAUAGCUGGUGCUGGGGAAGGAUGUUUAAGCAACAUGCUUUCUCUUCUCUGCAGACUCUAAAAUAGCAUUGCCAGUGCACAACAUUCAUAAUUUAAAAUGUAUGCAGAGCACUGAAAUGUAUAAAAAGCAGAAUAUAAGAAAAUAAAAUUUAUUAAAAUUAUUUAUAUUAAAAAAUGAAGUAUAUGAAGAUCUCUCAGUAAUAAAAGUACAAAAAGCUACUCUUUGCAAUAUGAAAAAUUGAGGUAUUGCAUAAAGAGAUAUCCCGUCAGUGAAAAGUGUGCCUAAAAAUGUUCACUGUUGGAAAAACAAGAUAUACAAAAGUAGUGCAUAACAAAUAUACAUUAUGUGCAUGACAAAAUAAGUUAGCUACAAAAACACUGUACCGAAAUUCAGCAGGUCAUGUACAAAGGGAAAAAUUAUUAUUCAAAGCUAGUUCUCAAACAGUGUUAUUUCUUGUUAACUCAUCACACCUGUUUACUGAGUAGGAACAGCACAAUAGCACACCCCAAGCCACCUACAAGCAUUUAAAAGCAUUAAAAGAUAAAAAAGAGUCAGAUGAAACAGUCGAUUAGAUUAUGGACGUUUCAGAGAGAAAAGAAAAAAAAGUCCCUGACCAGCUACACAAGAGCACCCCCCUCCAUCUCGCAUACUGCUUUCAGAGAGAAAAUAUUGCGGGAAUUCUUGUAAAGCCAGCUCCUUUCCGUUUUGACCAUUCGGACAGCAUAUGCCUCCAUUUUGACCUUUGGAACUUAACAGGUAUAUAGUUCAUUAAAGCCUGUGUUAAAAAUAAAUGACUGCUUUUCCUAACGAUAAUCAAUAGGGGUCAUCAGCCAGGUGGUUCCACCGUAGUGCUGGGGCAAGUCUUUGGUUUGGAAGGAUCCAAGAUGGUACUGUUAGGUAGCACAACUAGAAGAUUGCCAUUAGAUUUUUUUUUUUUAAUGUUUUGCACACUGGUAAUGAUCCUUUUAAUGGUGGAUAGAGCAUUUGAUAAGAGAAUGUCAAUUAACAUAAAAGUUACUUCCAUGACCAGGGCUUCAAGAGACUAUUUUAAAUUUACCCCUGAAGCAUACUGUUCAACACAUAAUAACGCCUUUCAAAGCUAGAAUUUUAUUUAUAAUAAAGCAUGCAUUACUUGAUGAAGUUGGCACUUCAAACACUGACUAUGUCCCAUGCUAAGUUCUGAAAAGGUAAUGUUAUUUUUAUAGGAAGAGUAAGAUAAACAUACGUACCUUUGCACAGAUUUACACAGUUACUUAGUUCAACAGUGCAAAACACUUUGCAACUACUUUUUUUUUUUACUUUUUUUUUUUUUUCAUUUUCUAUGUUACAACUAAAUUACAGGAUACCCAAAGUAACUUUAAAUCUAAACAUAAGCCAAUCAGCGGCCAAUUUGUAUAUUGGUUUUGUUUCCCAGUUUUGGCUACAAUUGUACUAUAACACAAAAUCAGAAAUGAUAUCCUUGAGGUAUCUCUAGAUCCGUUCUGUUUUGUCUUGUUUUUUACCGUCAAAAUGGAGAGCAAAGGCUGACACCUGAUGAGUGUUAGUAAAUUAGGAUAUAGAAUUUAUAUAUAACAUCAAAAAUAAAAUUUAUACAUUUGUUCUUCAGGAGAGGAAAUGCUAGUUUUCCCACCAGUUGUCGUUAAUUCUAGCUUUGGUAGGUUUCCUGGGGCUGUGACCAGAUAAGAAAGUUUAAAAAUAAAUAAGUGCACUCCCCUCAGUAGUAAAUUUACCCAAUUUUUACAUUCUAAAGUUUUAAAAAUGGUUGAAAAGAAAAUAAACCUAGCUCUGC
rnacentral:lncRNA from 1 species